CGAACAAGAAAGACAUGUUUUCAAUGUCUCUUGUUUUACGCAGUAACUUAUAUAAGAGUUCAAGGUCAUAAUUGUUAUUAUAAUAAGUAACUCAAAGAAAUUAAUGUAGCGGAAAGAUGUUAAAGGUUACAAUGUACUAAAUUUUUGGGUCCCCAUUUUAUAAAAUGAUAUAUUAAUAAUAUUUAAAUCUUUAAAGAUGGAAGAGAAAAACGAUAAAAAACAUAAAAUCUACUAUGUAUUAAUCAAAGUGAGGGAGGGGUGGGGUGUGUUUGAGGGUGUACUACAAAAAAAAGUAACACAAGGAACCAAUCAAAAGUUGUCAAAUCGUUUAAAAAUACUAUUCAACAUGAUGAAAAAAGUUGAAAACCAAUCAGAAGGUUACUAUCUAUGCACCUGGUGCAUCUAAUGAUGAUUUUGAAGGGGAAGAUGAGAUGUUCUACGCGAUUCCAGUCACUCUUCUACAAUAAAAAAAGAAAGAAUGAAAUUUGAAUUUUGUGUGCUGUGACUGUAAUAGCUGAAAGAAUAAAUACGUGUAUCUAAUUACUGUUUUAUUUUGUAAUGUCCAUAGGCUAGUGAAGAAAUGCCAUCAUUUAGUAAAUAUCGCUUAUCAUCAAAGCAAGACAGUCUAUUUUUCUUAAUAUUUUCGAGAUAAAUUUCAUGAUUAUGACUGCGAAAUGUAUUCAUUUGAGAAACUAAUUGUGAAUCAUUGAAUAAUGUGUCUUUAUAAUGCCGUAAGCUUAAAUCUUUUUUGACAACCACCUUUGAUAUGCCUUUAGCACUUUUGUCUUCUUUACCACCACAGCUAAAGGCAUACAUUUUCGA